AUCUCUUCACGGUCUGUUGACUAAGAUCGAAAUGUAGUAUUUGUUCUUUUCAGUUAAAUAUCCGGUAUGGUCUCAAUUUAGUGUCAUUAAUAUUAAACUGGUUUUCAGAAUAAAGCAAAGAGUUAAGGGCAUGCGCCGCUUUCAUAGAGUUGACCUAGUAUUGCUGUACUUCCAGGAUUCAGCACAUUUUCU
rfam:Octopus bimaculoides Scaffold41678_contig_100, whole genome shotgun sequence.